UUGGAGGGCAAGUCUGGUGCCAGCAGCCGCGGUAAUUCCAGCUCCAAUAGCGUAUAUUAAAGUUGUUGCAGUUAAAAAGCUCGUAGUUGAAUUUCGGGAUCAUCAGGUUGGUCGUGCCUCCGGUAUGUACUUUCCUCGAUGGUUCCUCCUUCUUGAAGAACCGUAAUGCCAUUAAUUUGGUGUUGCGGGGAAUCUGGACUGUUACUUUGAAAAAACUAGAGUGUUUAAAGCAGGCUAACGCUUGAAUACAUUAGCAUGGAAUAAUGAAAUAGGACGAUCGAUCCUAUUUUGUUGGUUUCUAGGAUUGACGUAAUGAUUAAUAGGGAUAGUUGGGGGCAUUAGUAUUCAAUUGUCAGAGGUGAAAUUCUUGGAUUUAUUGAAGACUAACUACUGCGAAAGUAUUUGCCAAGGAUGUUUUCAUUAAUCAAGAACGAAAGUUAGGGGAUCGAAGACGAUCAGAUACCGUCGUAGUCUUAACCAUAAACUAUGCCGACUAGGGAUCGGAUGAUGUUAAUUUUUUAAUGACUCAUUCGGCGCCUUACGGGAAA
rnacentral:rRNA from 1 species